UUGUCAGUUUGCAAUAAACACGUUCUGCAAGCAGUGAAACUGCUGGGGCUGUGCAGUUGUAGGAAGAUAAUCAGUGACUUUUCAUUUAUAAUCAUUUUCUCAUAAUGACGCAAUUUUUUAAAUUUAUGAAUGAAUGAUUUUUUAUAGUUAUGGAGAUAAGUCCAUCCAUCUAUCCAUUUUCUGUACUGCUUAUUCUACACAGGGUUGCAGUGGAGCCUGGAGCUUGUCCCAGGGGACUCGGGGUACAAGCCAGGGGGACACCCUGGACAGGAUGCCGACCUAUCGCAGGGCACAAUCAUGCACUAUGGACAGUUUGAUAUGCAACACUUGUCUUUGGACUGGGGGAGGAAGCCGGAGUACCCAGAGGAAACCCCUGAAGCACAGGGCGGAGGAGGGAUUCGAACCCCCAAGACAUACUAACAUCUAAGCCACCGUGUACCCCAUGGAGACAAUCUGCUAAGAGAGUGGGAUAAUCAGUCAUGACUCCGGUUGCUCCUGCUGCAAAAGCAGCCUCGAUGUCCCGUUCUUUAUUACAAACGAACAGAUGGAUCUGAAUGACACAAAAUGAAAGAAGGAGAACAAGAGAAGCAGAGAUAAAAUUGCUGAAAUAUAACUCUGCCACGUGUGACUCCACAGAUGCCCAAACUGUGAUGUCCUCUCGGUCAUACUUCUUCACAAGAGCAGAUACCUGAGAGAAAAAACGAAGAAGAGCGAGAGAACACAUGUCAGCGUGAGAUGUUGUGAGGCAUACAAAUGACAAACCGAACGUGCAGAACUUCUAAAUUAAAGUUGGAAUGAGACCUUAACACAAACUGAAAUCCAGCUGUAGUAUGAGCGCUCACUUUUUCAAUCAGCUCUUUGUUGUUCUCUUUCACCUCGAUGUUCACCGGCAUCCUAGGAAACUUGCGGAAGACAUCUUCUAACAGGGCAAACUUUCUGUCUGAGCCAGUGCUGUAGUGACCUGCAGUGUGUGUUAGCAAAAAUUUAAGAUUAUGACAUACAUACAUACUAUGUGUGUGUGUGUGUGUGUGUGUGUGUGUGUUUAGAAACCCACCUGUGUAAAAUGUAACCUCAAGUUGUUCCUGAUACAGUGGUAGCUCCUGGAGAACAAUAAUUUGAAAUGAGAUUAGCCAUCAUGAAAAUAAUUUAUUUAUUUUAUUUUAUUUAUUAUAUAUACAAUAUUUUAUUGGUAAUAAUCUGCCACUUGGAAAUGGCUCAUCACAGAAACAGAAAGAAAUGUCUGGCUAGCUGUUUGUAAUGCUGUACCCAUUGGAGGUGAUUGAUGAUCUGUGUUCCUCGAGGUUACAUAGAUUUUACUUCAUUAUAGUGUAUUACUAUUAUUAUUAUUUGUAAGCCUUCUAUGUCUCAUGAGAUUAUUUGUAGUUUGAUUGACUGUUUGGGAAUAUUGUCUGGAAAAAAAUCCUGCAAAUUGGCACUUAAGAGUUAAGCUAAGAGCUAUUUAUAAGAAAUGAUAACCAUACAGCACAAAAUAAUUAGGCAUAUUGCCUUCAAAAUAAGAAUAACAUAAAAAGCAAGUGUGAAUUUUGUUGUUGUAUAUGUUUGUUCAUGUGACUUGAAUACUAGUUUAUGUGGAAAACUGUGCUUCUGGCAAUAUUUUCUGGAAAAAAUAUUACCUGCUUUCCAAUAAUAACUACUGUAUACAGUAUAUAAACACUGUAUAUAAAUUUGUUAAUCUUC